AAGGGCUAUAGCUCAGUUCGGUAGAGCAACUCGCUUACACGAUCUGUUUUACCGAGAAGGUCUACGGUUCGAAUCCGUAUAGCCCUA
rnacentral:tRNA from 1 species